rnacentral:rRNA from 1 species
GGGUUGUGAGGUUAAGCGACUAAGCGUACACGGUGGAUGCCCUGGCAGUCAGAGGCGAUGAAGGACGUGCUAAUCUGCGAUAAGCGUCGGUAAGGUGAUAUGAACCGUUAUAACCGGCGAUUUCCGAAUGGGGAAACCCAGUGUGUUUCGACACACUAUCAUUAACUGAAUCCAUAGGUUAAUGAGGCGAACCGGGGGAACUGAAACAUCUAAGUACCCCGAGGAAAAGAAAUCAACCGAGAUUCCCCCAGUAGCGGCGAGCGAACGGGGAGGAGCCCAGAGCCUGAAUCAGUGUGUGUGUUAGUGGAAGCGUCUGGAAAGGCGCGCGAUACAGGGUGACAGCCCCGUACACAAAAAUGCACAUGCUGUGAGCUCGAUGAGUAGGGCGGGACACGUGGUAUCCUGUCUGAAUAUGGGGGGACCAUCCUCCAAGGCUAAAUACUCCUGACUGACCGAUAGUGAACCAGUACCGUGAGGGAAAGGCGAAAAGAACCCCGGCGAGGGGAGUGAAAAAGAACCUGAAACCGUGUACGUACAAGCAGUGGGAGCCUCUUUUAUGGGGUGACUGCGUACCUUUUGUAUAAUGGGUCAGCGACUUAUAUUCUGUAGCAAGGUUAACCGAAUAGGGGAGCCGAAGGGAAACCGAGUCUUAACUGGGCGUUAAGUUGCAGGGUAUAGACCCGAAACCCGGUGAUCUAGCCAUGGGCAGGUUGAAGGUUGGGUAACACUAACUGGAGGACCGAACCGACUAAUGUUGAAAAAUUAGCGGAUGACUUGUGGCUGGGGGUGAAAGGCCAAUCAAACCGGGAGAUAGCUGGUUCUCCCCGAAAGCUAUUUAGGUAGCGCCUCGUGAAUUCAUCUCCGGGGGUAGAGCACUGUUUCGGCAAGGGGGUCAUCCCGACUUACCAACCCGAUGCAAACUGCGAAUACCGGAGAAUGUUAUCACGGGAGACACACGGCGGGUGCUAACGUCCGUCGUGAAGAGGGAAACAACCCAGACCGCCAGCUAAGGUCCCAAAGUCAUGGUUAAGUGGGAAACGAUGUGGGAAGGCCCAGACAGCCAGGAUGUUGGCUUAGAAGCAGCCAUCAUUUAAAGAAAGCGUAAUAGCUCACUGGUCGAGUCGGCCUGCGCGGAAGAUGUAACGGGGCUAAACCAUGCACCGAAGCUGCGGCAGCGAC